rnacentral:lncRNA from 1 species
CACGGUAGUAAAUUACGUAGAAAAGAAAACACAAGGUGUCAGAUAGAGAAAAGGAGUUGGGGUGAGGGGCAGUAGACCGAGUUUUGACUUGCUGGCUCUCUGUGACCUUCACAGGAUCAUUUCCUUUCUCUGGGCCAGACAUUACAAAUCACGAAAGAAAAGAAGUUGAAGAGGGUGAAAUUUUAGUGGGGGAAAGAGCUAACUUUUUAUUUUUAAAAACAGACUAUAUAUGAUGCAUUAUGGUAGGAAAAAUAUAUUCUUUAUUCACUCAUUAAAAGCAUAAAUGAGGAACUAGGCACUGGGAAAGGUGAUUUAUAUUAAAUCAUUCAUUCAACAGAUUAUUUAUUCACCACCGGAUCCCUACUAAUUCAUGUACCUCUCACAGAAAAAGGUGUUCUGGUACCCAUUUUAUGGAGGCUGAGUCUCAGAGACCUUAAGCAGCCUGCGCAAAGCCUUCCUAGUAAGUGGAGGGCACAGAUGUGAACUCCGUUCGCCUUGCUCCAGGGUCUUCUCCUGCCAUGACUCAGGAUUACUCUUCAUUUCUUCUAUGAUUGCAGACAUCUCUCUUGCAGGGGCUUAAAUAGCUUAACAAGAGCUCUCAGCACAGGAGUUAGCAUCCUGGGGAACCUCUCACUAAGUCUUAGUGUUUGGUAAUAAGUUUCUCUCGGGCUCUGGCUCCAACUCCUGAUCCCUUAUAAGUGACUAUUCAUUUUGCAAAAUUUCCCAACCUGCCUGCCAAUUCAUUUCCUGAGCAGAUCACACAGAGGUCAAUUGUGGCAAGAUGGGACCCUGCCAACCUUUGCUCUCACAGGGCCUUGGACAGGAGACAGCCUCUCCAAGGAAUGCUGCAUCAGCAAGGCCACACACCAUCCUUGGACACAUUAUCCUGGGCACAGAGAAGGAUGGUUUGGUGAAUGAUAAAGCACGAGCUUUGGAGGAAGCACAAAAAGCCUGAUCUAUCUCUAAGGGCAGCACAGGACAGAGGGGAGAACAUUGCAAUUACAAUCAAAAGAAGGAAAUGGAAAUCAAGAUAGUUACUGAGCACCAACUGUACACCAGGCACAUACCAGAUAAAGAGUUAAUGAGUACUCCUUGCCCAUAAGGAGACAACUGUCCUGUAAUGCUUGCAGAAAUAGACAGAGCAUCAAAUAACUUGUGACUCAUGAGACUGGUGCUUUGGAAAUCUGGUGCAAUAUUGCAGGGAGCUCCCCCAGAACACUAUUCUGAAUGUCCCUCUUCAUGCAAGCUAGAACAACACUCUUAUCCUCACUGUUAACAGACAAUAAGGGAUAUGACAAAACACACCCACUGCACUAAUAAAAUUUAAUGCUCAAAUCAAGCAAUAAAAUUGCCUAUUCAUAUGCAUGUUUAUAUCUCCCUAUAUAAAAAAAAAAUCACAUUUCCCUAAGAAGAAUGUCUUAAGUCAGUGUGCAAAGCACCAGUCCCCGCACUCAGUCCAUUGAUUUCAUAGAUAUCCAAGGGGCACACAGGGAAGAAGGCAGGAGACGGAGGAGUGGUUGGUUUGAGAUUUCGUUUCUUGGUAGUAAGAUGUGGCUUAAAGUGGAGACGGCGUUUCACCGCGUUAGCCAAGAUGGUCUCAAUCUCCUGAACUCGUGAUCCGCCCGCCUCGGCCUCCCAAAGUGCUCGGAUUACAGGCGUGAGCCACCGCGCCCGGCCGAUGAAUUCCUUUUAUUUCAUCCAUUUAUUUAUUUUGUCCUUUCAUCCAACAAAUAUUUAUGGGUCAUGUCUUGCACUAACCACUACAGAUAAAGAAAUGUGUAAGACAAAGCUAUUGUCUUCAAGAAUACCCAGAGUGGAGGAAUUGUCUUUAGAUUCUAGAUCUUUCUCUUCUUAAAUCAUAUUUCUUAGAAUAUAGGUACAGGUUUGGAACAUUGUGGUAAUUCCAAAUUUGUUUACCUUUAGUGCUUAGUGCUGAAAAGAGCUACAAAAAUAAUAAAGACCUGGAG